GAUGAACGCUGGCGGCGUGCCUAAUACAUGCAAGUCGAGCGAACAGACGAGGAGCUUGCUCCUCUGACGUUAGCGGCGGACGGGUGAGUAACACGUGGAUAACCUACCUAUAAGACUGGGAUAACUUCGGGAAACCGGAGCUAAUACCGGAUAAUAUAUUGAACCGCAUGGUUCAAUAGUGAAAGACGGUUUUGCUGUCACUUAUAGAUGGAUCCGCGCCGCAUUAGCUAGUUGGUAAGGUAACGGCUUACCAAGGCGACGAUGCGUAGCCGACCUGAGAGGGGGCGCGGCAACAGUGGAACUGCUACACGGCCCAGACCCAGAGGGGAGGCAGCAGUGGGGACUCUUCCAAAGGGGGCAAAGCCCAGAAGGAGCAACGCCGCGGGAGUAAUAAAGGUCUUCGUAUCGAAAAACUCUUUUAUGGGGAAAAAACAAAUGUAUAAGUAACACUGCACGUCUGGAGGUUACAUAAUAAGAAGGCCAGGGCAAACCACGGC
rnacentral:rRNA from 1 species